CUGUUUCUAGGUGUAAGAAAAUGAAUUACUUCAUGAAUUGUGUGUUAGUAGUCAAGAAAAACUGUAAGUAAUCAUGAAUGUUAAAAAGCUUUCUGUGUACCAGAUAAUUAAAAGUACAUUUUAUUUAUGAUUUUAAAUUUAUGAAACAAGUUAGACUUACCACAGUUACCACAUGGGAGGCCAAUGCAAUGAAUUCAAGGGAUGAGUGGUUGUUAUAACUUUCACUGAAAGUUUCAUUUAGACUGUAUCUUAAGUGUAUGCUUCCCUCGUCAAGGGUAGGAGGAUCAGUAUUUGUGCCCUCUGUUGUUGGUGCUACAGUGGUGAACACAUAUGAGGUAUGAGCCUCUGUUACUGGCUUUACUGACGUUAGUGUUGUUGUUGUUGUCGACAUUGUUGUAUAUACAGUUGUAGAAUUGAAUACAGUAGAUGAACCCUUAGCUAGAGUAGUUUUGGUUGAUUCUGGUUUAUUUCUAACAGUUGCUGCUGCUGUUGUCCUUGAUGCAAUUGCUGGCAAUGCUGAUGUCAAUGGAACAAAGGUUGAAGCUUUUGGUGCAGUAGCAGACUUUACUAAGCUUGUUGUUGAUGUUGUAAUUGUAUCUACUGCCACAGAAUGUAUCACAGUAGAUGAAACCUGAGCUAUUGUAGUCUUGGUUGAUUCUGGUUCAUUGCUAAUGGUUGCUGCUGUGGUCGUGCCCGAUGCAGUUGCUGGCAAUGCUGAUGUCACUGGUAAAAAUGUAGAAGCUUUGGGUGUAGUAGCCGACUCUACUAAGCCUGUUGUUGUUGUCACUGUAUUUUCUGUUGUAGUUAUCCUGAUUGUUUUCUGUUCAUUGCUAACAGUUGCUGAUGUGGUUUUGUCCAGUGCAGUUGCAUGCAAAGCUGAUGUUACUGGUGCAAAUGUAGAAGUUCUUGCUGUAGUAGCAGACACUAUUCGGCCUGUUGUUGUUGUCACUGUAUUUCCAGUUGUAGCUAUCCUGAUUGUUUCCGGUUCAUUGCUAACAGUUGCUGAUGUGGUUGUGCCCAAUGCAGUUGCUGGCAAUGCUGAUGUCACCGGUGCAAAUGUAGAAGCUUUGGGUGUAGUAGCAGACUCUACUAGAACUGUUGUUGUUGUCACUGUAUUUUCUGUUGUAGUUAUACUGAUUGUUUCCGGUACAUUGCUAAUAGUUGCUGAUGUGGUUGUGCCCAAUGCAGUUGCAUGUAAAGCAGAUGUCACUGGUACAAACGUAGAAGCUUUAGUUGUAGUAGUAGACUCUACUAGGCCUGUUGUCAUUGUCAAUGUAUCUUCUGUGGUAGCUAUCCUGAUUGUUUCCGGUUCAUUGCUAACAGUUGCUGAUGUGGUUGUGCCCAAUGCAGUUGCCGGCAAAGCUGAUGUUACUGGUGCAAAUGUAGAAUUUUUUGCUGUAGAAGCAGACACUUUUUGGCCUGUUGAUGUUGUCACUGUAUUUUCUGUUGUAGUUAUGCUGACUGUUUCCGGUACAUUGCUAACAGUUGCUGAUGUGGUUGUGCCCAAUGCAGUUGCAUGUAAAGCAGACGUCACAGGUACAAAUGUAGAAGCUUUAGGUGUAGAAGCAGACUCUACUAGGCCUGUUGUCAUUGUCACUGUAUCUUCUGUUGUAGUUAUCCUGAUUGUUUCUGGCUCAUUGCUAACAGUUGCUGAUGUGGUUAUGCCCAAUGCAGUUGCUGGCAAUGCUGAUGUCACCGGUACCAAGGUAGAAGCUUUGGGUGUAGUAGCAGACUCUACUAGGCCUGUUGUUGUUGACACUGUAUUUUCUGUUGCAGUUAUCCUGAUUGUUUCCGGUUCAUUGUUAACAAUUGCUGAUGUGGCUGUGCCCAAUGCAGUUGCUGGCAAGGCUGAUGUCACUUGUAGAAAUGUAGAAGCUUUGGGUGUAGUAGCCGACUCUACUAGGCCUGUUGUUGUUGUCUCUGUAUUUUCUGUUGUAGUUAUACUGAUUGUUUCCGGUACAUUACUAACAGUUGCUGAUGUGGUUGUGCCCAAUGCAGUUGCAUGUAAAGCAGAUGUCACUGGUACAAAUGUAGAAGCUUUGGGUGUACUAGCAGACUGUAC
ensembl:lncRNA